rnacentral:misc_RNA from 1 species
GGGCUGAUGGCGCCGAGG